UGGGGGAUAUUGCACAAUGGGCGAAAGCCUGAUGCAGCGACGCCGCGUGGGGGAUGAAGGCUUUCGGGUUGUAAACCUCUUUCGCUAUCGAACAAGGCCCGCUUAGGGUGGGUUGAGGGUAGGUGGAGAAGAAGCGCCGGCUAACUACGUGCCAGCAGCCGCGGUAAUACGUAGGGCGCGAGCGUUGUCCGGAAUUAUUGGGCGUAAAGGGCUUGUAGGCGGCUUGUUGCGCCUGCUGUGAAAACGCGGGGCUUAACUUCGCGCGUGCAGUGGGUACGGGCAGGCUUGAGUGUGGUAGGGGUGACUGGAAUUACAGGUGUAGCGGUGGAAUGCGCAGAUAUCUGGAGGAACACCGAUGGCGAAGGCAGGUCACUGGGCCAUUACUGACGCUGAGGAGCGAAAGCAUGGGUAGCGAACAGG
rnacentral:rRNA from 1 species